GACGGAGGAUGCAAGCGUUAUCCGGAAUGAUUGGGCGUAAAGAGCGUGUAGGCGGCCUGACAGGUCUGCUGUGAAAACUCGAGGCUCAACCUCGAGAUGUCGGCGGAAACCGUCUGGCUAGAGUCCGGAAGAGGAGAGUGGAAUUCCUGGUGUAGCGGUGAAAUGCGCAGAUAUCAGGAAGAACACCUAUGGCGAAGGCAGCUCUCUGGGACGGUACUGACGCUGAGACGCGAAAGCGUGGGGAGCGAACAGG
rnacentral:rRNA from 1 species